CAUGCAAGUCGAGCGGUAGAGAGAAGCUUGCUUCUCUUGAGAGCGGCGGACGGGUGAGUAAUGCCUAGGAAUCUGCCUGGUAGUGGGGGAUAACGUUCGGAAACGGACGCUAAUACCGCAUACGUCCUACGGGAGAAAGCAGGGGACCUUCGGGCCUUGCGCUAUCAGAUGAGCCUAGGUCGGAUUAGCUAGUUGGUGGGGUAAUGGCUCACCAAGGCGACGAUCCGUAACUGGUCUGAGAGGAUGAUCAGUCACACUGGAACUGAGACACGGUCCAGACUCCUACGGGAGGCAGCAGUGGGGAAUAUUGGACAAUGGGCGAAAGCCUGAUCCAGCCAUGCCGCGUGUGUGAAGAAGGUCUUCGGAUUGUAAAGCACUUUAAGUUGGGAGGAAGGGUUGUAGAUUAAUACUCUGCAAUUUUGACGUUACCGACAGAAUAAGCACCGGCUAACUCUGUGCCAGCAGCCGCGGUAAUACAGAGGGUGCAAGCGUUAAUCGGAAUUACUGGGCGUAAAGCGCGCGUAGGUGGUUUGUUAAGUUGGAUGUGAAAUCCCCGGGCUCAACCUGGGAACUGCAUUCAAAACUGACUGACUAGAGUAUGGUAGAGGGUGGUGGAAUUUCCUGUGUAGCGGUGAAAUGCGUAGAUAUAGGAAGGAACACCAGUGGCGAAGGCGACCACCUGGACUAAUACUGACACUGAGGUGCGAAAGCGUGGGGAGCAAACAGGAUUAGAUACCCUGGUAGUCCACGCCGUAAA
rnacentral:rRNA from 1 species